rnacentral:tRNA from 1 species
GGGCGCUUAGCUCAGUUGGUUAGAGUAUCUCCUUGACAUGGAGAGGGCCACAGGUUCGAGUCCUGUAGCGCCCA